ACCGCAAAACCCAAAGACCCACUUAGGUGUCCCCUCUCUCCGCAGAAGAGAGAGCUUUUCCCUUUCUCUCUGUUAAACCUCUUCUCUUAAACUCACUUCUUGCGUGUCCUCGUCCUCGAUUUCCUUGGCGUAAGACGACGAACCUCAGGCAUUUACCCCAGACAACGAAGGUGCUUCAUAAGGUCAUGCAGCUGGGUCAACAUAGGACUGUGUAGCCAAGAGCUACAGGAUGGAUUGCUGAGGCCAGGGAGAUUGAAAGGAAGUCACAGCCCAAUCUCAGAGGGAUCCACGGAGCCAGCGAAAGCUAAGGCGGGACUUACCCAACAGAGGGUCCUGGCCCAGUCACCCAGUGGCACAACCCAACUGGGAGAUCUGAGCAUCUACCAACUGUGGCCACCAGUGAGAUGGUGUCAUUGUCUGGGGGCCGCCUGAAAGCUUGUACAAGUGCCUGAGGAAAGCCGGAUUUGGCAGGCUGCAACCACGGUGGAUGACAGCUGAAGGAGAAUUACAGCAGCAGCAAUCAGUUGCUCUGGGGGAAGCCAGCUGUCAUGUGACAAACAGCUCUCCACAGAGGAUUAUGGGGCAUGUAACUGAGGCCUCCAGCCAGCGGCCACGUCAGUGAGUUUGGAAAUAGGUCCUCUAGCCCAGUUGAGCCUUCAGAAGACGACAUGAGGAUUUGCUGCAGUUCUGCCCAACAUCUUGAUUUCAAGCUCAUGAGACAGCCUAAGCCCAAACCACCCAGCUAAGCCAUUCCUAGAUUCCUGACCCAAAGAAACUAUGUGAGAUUAUGUGUCUGGUAUUUUAAGCACUAAGUUCUGGGAUAAUUUGUUUUGAAGCAAUAGUUAAGAAAUACAAUGAGAUAACACUAAACGCAAUGAGAGAGCACUAAACACUAUACUUGGUGUAGAUAAGGUCAUGGAGCCACAGGAAUGCUCAUUUUGUGCUAGUGGAAAAGGAAAUUGGAAAAACCAUUUUGCAAUGUAUAACCAGGUGGCAAUAUCUACAGUUUUAAAGCUAUGCCUAUUAUAUGAUCUCACAGUUCCACUUCUAGGUAUAUAGUGCAUGAUCCUGUGCACAGGAGACAUGCACAUGAAUAUUCAUAGCAGGAAUGUUUGUAGUAGCCUCAAAUUGGAAACCAUCCACAUAUCCAUCAGUAAUGGAAUGGAUAAAUAAGUUUUGGUAGCAGUUGAGCCUUGAACAACACGAGUUUAAACUAUGUGGGUCCACUUAAUAUGCACAUUUUCUGGGUCCACUUAUAUGCAGAUUUUCUUCUACCUCUGCUACCCCUGAGAUGGUAAGACCAUCUUCCUUGAUCCACUUCCACAGUAAAUACAUUUUCUCUUUCUUAUGAUUUUCUUAAUAUCAUUUUCUUUUCCCUAAGCUUACUUGAUUGUAAGUGUACAGUAUGUGAUAAAAAUAACAUGCAAAAUAUGUGUUAAUCAACUGUUAAUGAUCAGUUAAUACUUCUGGUGAACAGUAGGCUGUAAGUAGUUAAGUUUUGGGGAAGUCAAAAGCAUAUGCAGAUAUUUGACUGUGUGGGGUGUUGGUAUCCCUAACCUCGUGCAUUGUUCAAGGGUCAAUUGUAUUUGUACAAUAAAAUGUUAUACAGCAAGGGUUGGAAGAUUUGUUCUGUUAAGGGCCAGAGAGUCAAUAUUUUAGGCUUUAAGGGCUGUACAGUCUCUGUCAUACCUAGUCAACUCUGCUGUUGUAGUAUGUAAGCAGCCACAGAGAAUAGGGAAAUGAAUAAGCAUGGCUAUAUUUCAAUUAUACUUUAUUUACAAAACAGAUGGGGAACUGGAUUUGGCACAGGGGCCACAGUUUUCUGACCAUUACUCUAUAAUAUUGAGAGUAAAAGGGGCCAGGUGCAGUGGCUCACAUCUGUGAUCCCAGC